rnacentral:rRNA from 1 species
UACGUAGGGUGCAAGCGUUAAUCGGAAUACUGGGCGUAAAGCGUGCGCAGGCGGUGAUGUAAGACAGUUGUGAAAUCCCCGGGCUCAACCUGGGAACUGCAUCUGUGACUGCAUCGCUGGAGUGCGGCAGAGGGGGAUGGAAUUCCGCGUGUAGCAGUGAAAUGCGUAGAUAUGCGGAGGAACACCGAUGGCGAAGGCAAUCCCCCUGGGCUG